rnacentral:rRNA from 1 species
UACAGAGGGGGCAAGCGUUAUUCGGAAUUAUUGGGCGUAAAGGGCGCGUAGGCGGCCUGGCAAGUGGAAGGUGAAAUCCCUCGGCUUAACCGAGGAACUGCCCUCCAAACUGCUUGGCUUGAGUCCGGGAGAGGUGAGUGGAAUUCCCAGUGUAGCGGUGAAAUGCGUAGAUAUUGGGAAGAACACCAGUGGCGAAAGCGGACUUCUGGGUUGUUACUGACGCUGAGGUGCGAAAGCGUGGGGAGCAAACGGG